GUGACUGCGUACCUUUUGUAUAAUGGGUCAGCGACUUAUAUUCUGUAGCAAGGUUAACCGAAUAGGGGAGCCGGAGGGAAACCGAGUCUUAAUUGGGCGUUAAGUUGCAGGGUAUAGACCCGAAACCCGGUGAUCUAGCCAUGGGCAGGUUGAAGGUUGGGUAACACUAACUGGAGGACCGAACCGACUAAUGUUGAAAAAUUAGCGGAUGACCUGUGGCUGGGGGUGAAAGGCCAAUCAAACCGGGAGAUAGCUGGUUCUCCCCGAAAGCUAUUUAGGUAGCGCCUCGUGAAUUCAUCUCCGGGGGUAGAGCACUGUUUCGGCUAGGGGGCCAUCCCGGCUUACCAACCCGAUGCAAACUGCGAAUACCGGAGAAUGUUAUCACGGGAGACACACGGCGGGUGCUAACGUCCGUCGUGAAGAGGGAAACAACCCAGACCGCCAGCUAAGGUCCCAAAGUCAUGGUUAAGUGGGAAACGAUGUGGGAAGGCCCAGACAGCCAGGAUGUUGGCUUAGAAGCAGCCAUCAUUUAAAGAAAGCGUAAUAGCUCACUGGUCGAGUCGGCCUGCGCGGAAGAUGUAACGGGGCUAAACCAUGCACCGAAGCUGCGGCAGCGACACUGUGUGUUGUUGGGUAGGGGAGCGUUCUGUAAGCCUGCGAAGGUGUCCC
rnacentral:rRNA from 1 species